rnacentral:rRNA from 1 species
AGAGUUUGAUCCUGGCUCAGAUUGAACGCUGGCGGCAUGCCUUACACAUGCAAGUCGAACGGCAGCGGACCUUCGGGUGCCGGCGAGUGGCGAACGGGUGAGUAAUGUAUCGGAACGUACCUUUCAGUGGGGGAUAACGUAGCGAAAGUUACGCUAAUACCGCAUAUUCUGUGCGCAGGAAAGCAGGGGAUCGCAAGACCUUGCGCUGAUUGAGCGGCCGAUAUCAGAUUAGCUAGUUGGUGAGGUAAAGGCUCACCAAGGCGACGAUCUGUAGCGGGUCUGAGAGGAUGAUCCGCCACACUGGAACUGAGACACGGUCCAGACUCCUACGGGAGGCAGCAGUGGGGAAUUUUGGACAAUGGGGGCAACCCUGAUCCAGCCAUGCCGCGUGAGUGAAGAAGGCCUUCGGGUUGUAAAGCUCUUUCGGCCGGGAAGAAAUCGCAUGGGUUAAUACCCUGUGCGGAUGACGGUACCGGCAUAG